rnacentral:rRNA from 1 species
UACGUAGGGUGCGAGCGUUAAUCGGAAUUACUGGGCGUAAAGCGUACGCAGGCGGCUUUGCAAGACAGGUGUGAAAUCCCCGGGCCUAACCUGGGAACUGCAUUUGUGACUGCAUGGCUAGAGUUUGUCAGAGGGGGGGUGGAAUUCCACGUGUAGCAGUGAAAUGCGUAGAUAUGUGGAGGAACACCGAUGGCGAAGGCAGCCCCCUGGGAUGUGACUGACGCUCAUGUACGAAAGCGUGGG